rnacentral:rRNA from 1 species
AUUGAACGCUGGCGGCAUGCCUUACACAUGCAAGUCGAACGGUAACGGGCCUUCGGGUGCCGACGAGUGGCGUACGGGUGAGUAAUACAUCGGAACGUGCCCGAUCGUGGGGGAUAACGAGGCGAAAGCUUUGCUAAUACCGCAUACGAUCUACGGAUGAAAGCAGGGGACCGCAAGGCCUUGCGCGGACGGAGCGGCCGAUGGCAGAUAGGUAGUUGGUGGGGUAAAAGCUUACCAAGCCGACGAUCUGUAGCUGGUCUGAGACGAUGAUCAGCCACGCUGGGACUGAGACACGGCCCAGACUCAUACGGGAGGCAGCAGUGGGGAAUUUUGGACAAUGGGCGCAAGCCUGAUCCAGCCAUGCCGCGUGCAGGAUGAGGGCCCUCGGGUUGUAAACUGCUUUUGUACGGAACGAAAAGCCUUCUUCUAAUACAGGAGGGUCAUGACGGUACCGUAAGAAUAAGCACCGGCUAACUACGUGCCAGCCGCCGCCGUAA